GACGAACGCUGGCGGCGUGCUUAACACAUGCAAGUCGAACGGUGAAGCUCCAGCUUGCUGGAGUGGAUCAGUGGCGAACGGGUGAGUAACACGUGAGCAACCUGCCCCUGACUCUGGAAUAAGCGCUGGAAACGGCGUCUAAUACUGGAUACGAGAAGGGUCCGCAUGGGCACUUUCUGGAAAGUUUUUCGGUUGGGGAUGGGCUCGCGGCCUAUCAGCUUGUUGGUGAGGUAAUGGCUCACCAAGGCGACGACGGGUAGCCGGCCUGAGAGGGCGACCGGCCACACUGGGACUGAGACACGGCCCAGACUCCUACGGGAGGCAGCAGUGGGGAAUAUUGCACAGUGGGCGAAAGCCUGAUGCAGCGACGCCGCGUGAGGGAUGACGGCCUUCGGGUUGUAAACCUCUUUCAGCAGGGAAGAAGCGAAAGUGACGGUACCUGCAGAAGAAGCACCGGCUAACUACGUG
rnacentral:rRNA from 1 species